UGAUUCGUCACACUAUCAUUAACUGAAUCCAUAGGUUAAUGAGGCGAACCGGGGGAACUGAAACAUCUAAGUACCCCGAGGAAAAGAAAUCAACCGAGAUUCCCCCAGUAGCGGCGAGCGAACGGGGAGCAGCCCAGAGCCUGAAUCAGUGUGUGUGUUAGUGGAAGCGUCUGGAAAGGCGCGCGAUACAGGGUGACAGCCCCGUACACAAAAAUGCACAUACUGUGAGCUCGAUGAGUAGGGCGGGACACGUGGUAUCCUGUCUGAAUAUGGGGGGACCAUCCUCCAAGGCUAAAUACUCCUGACUGACCGAUAGUGAACCAGUACCGUGAGGGAAAGGCGAAAAGAACCCCGGCGAGGGGAGUGAAAAAGAACCUGAAACCGUGUACGUACAAGCAGUGGGAGCACGCUUAGGCGUGUGACUGCGUACCUUUUGUAUAAUGGGUCAGCGACUUAUAUUCUGUAGCAAGGUUAACCGAAUAGGGGAGCCGAAGGGAAACCGAGUCUUAACUGGGCGUUAAGUUGCAGGGUAUAGACCCGAAACCCGGUGAUCUAGCCAUGGGCAGGUUGAAGGUUGGGUAACACUAACUGGAGGACCGAACCGACUAAUGUUGAAAAAUUAGCGGAUGACUUGUGGCUGGGGGUGAAAGGCCAAUCAAACCGGGAGAUAGCUGGUUCUCCCCGAAAGCUAUUUAGGUAGCGCCUCGUGAAUUCAUCUCCGGGGGUAGAGCACUGUUUCGGCAAGGGGGUCAUCCCGACUUACCAACCCGAUGCAAACUGCGAAUACCGGAGAAUGUUAUCACGGGAGACACACGGCGGGUGCUAACGUCCGUCGUGAAGAGGGAAACAACCCAGACCGCCAGCUAAGGUCCCAAAGUCAUGGUUAAGUGGGAAACGAUGUGGGAAGGCCCAGACAGCCAGGAUGUUGGCUUAGAAGCAGCCAUCAUUUAAAGAAAGCGUAAUAGCUCACUGGUCGAGUCGGCCUGCGCGGAAGAUGUAACGGGGCUAAACCAUGCACCGAAGCUGCGGCAGCGACGCUUAUGCGUUGUUGGGUAGGGGAGCGUUCUGUAAGCCUGCGAAGGUGUGCUGUGAGGCAUGCUGGAGGUAUCAGAAGUGCGAAUGCUGACAUAAGUAACGAUAAAGCGGGUGAAAAGCCCGCUCGCCGGAAGACCAAGGGUUCCUGUCCAACGUUAAUCGGGGCAGGGUGAGUCGACCCCUAAGGCGAGGCCGAAAGGCGUAGUCGAUGGGAAACAGGUUAAUAUUCCUGUACUUGGUGUUACUGCGAAGGGGGGACGGAGAAGGCUAUGUUGGCCGGGCGACGGUUGUCCCGGUUUAAGCGGGUAGGCUGGUUUUCCAGGCAAAUCCGGAAAAUCAAGGCUGAGGCGUGAUGACGAGGCACUACGGUGCUGAAGCAACAAAUGCCCUGCUUCCAGGAAAAGCCUCUAAGCAUCAGGUAACAUCAAAUCGUACCCCAAACCGACACAGGUGGUCAGGUAGAGAAUACCAAGGCGCUUGAGAGAACUCGGGUGAAGGAACUAGGCAAAAUGGUGCCGUAACUUCGGGAGAAGGCACGCUGAUAUGUAGGUGAAGCGACUUGCUCGUGGAGCUGAAAUCAGUCGAAGAUACCAGCUGGCUGCAACUGUUUAUUAAAAACACAGCACUGUGCAAACACGAAAGUGGACGUAUACGGUGUGACGCCUGCCCGGUGCCGGAAGGUUAAUUGAUGGGGUUAGCGCAAGCGAAGCUCUUGAUCGAAGCCCCGGUAAACGGCGGCCGUAACUAUAACGGUCCUAAGGUAGCGAAAUUCCUUGUCGGGUAAGUUCCGACCUGCACGAAUGGCGUAAUGAUGGCCAGGCUGUCUCCACCCGAGACUCAGUGAAAUUGAACUCGCUGUGAAGAUGCAGUGUACCCGCGGCAAGACGGAAAGACCCCGUGAACCUUUACUAUAGCUUGACACUGAACAUUGAGCCUUGAUGUGUAGGAUAGGUGGGAGGCUUUGAAGUGUGGACGCCAGUCUGCAUGGAGCCGACCUUGAAAUACCACCCUUUAAUGUUUGAUGUUCUAACGUUGACCCGUAAUCCGGGUUGCGGACAGUGUCUGGUGGGUAGUUUGACUGGGGCGGUCUCCUCCUAAAGAGUAACGGAGGAGCACGAAGGUUGGCUAAUCCUGGUCGGACAUCAGGAGGUUAGUGCAAUGGCAUAAGCCAGCUUGACUGCGAGCGUGACGGCGCGAGCAGGUGCGAAAGCAGGUCAUAGUGAUCCGGUGGUUCUGAAUGGAAGGGCCAUCGCUCAACGGAUAAAAGGUACUCCGGGGAUAACAGGCUGAUACCGCCCAAGAGUUCAUAUCGACGGCGGUGUUUGGCACCUCGAUGUCGGCUCAUCACAUCCUGGGGCUGAAGUAGGUCCCAAGGGUAUGGCUGUUCGCCAUUUAAAGUGGUACGCGAGCUGGGUUUAGAACGUCGUGAGACAGUUCGGUCCCUAUCUGCCGUGGGCGCUGGAGAACUGAGGGGGGCUGCUCCUAGUACGAGAGGACCGGAGUGGACGCAUCACUGGUGUUCGGGUUGUCAUGCCAAUGGCACUGCCCGGUAGCUAAAUGCGGAAGAGAUAAGUGCUGAAAGCAUCUAAGCACGAAACUUGCCCCGAGAUGAGUUCUCCCUGACCCUUUAAGGGUCCUGAAGGAACGUUGAAGACGACGACGUUGAUAGGCCGGGUGUGUAAGCGCAGCGAUGCGUUGAGCUAACCGGUACUAAUGAACCGUGAGGCUUAACCUUACAACGCCGAAGGUGUUU
rnacentral:rRNA from 1 species